rnacentral:rRNA from 1 species
AUUGAACGCUGGCGGCAGGCCUAACACAUGCAAGUCGAACGAGUGGCGGACGGGUGAGUAAUGUCUGGGAAACUGCCUGAUGGAGGGGGAUAACUACUGGAAACGGUAGCUAAUACCGCAUACCAUCGGAUGUGCCCAGAUGGGAUUAGCUAGUAGGUGGGGUAAUGGCUCACCGAGGCGACGAUCCCUAGUUGGUCUGAGAGGAUGACCAGCCACCCGGUAACUGAGACACGGUCCAGACUCCGACGGGAGGCAGCAGUGGGGAAUAUUGAACAAUGGGCGCAAGCCUGAUGCAGCCAUGCCGCGUGUGUGAAUAAGGCCUUCGGGUUGUAAAGCACUUUCAGCGGGGAGGCGUUACGCGCAGAGGAAGCACCGGCAAACGCCGAGCCGGCAGCCGCGGUAAUUC